CUCAGUGUGAAAGUUGACACAUUUUUCUGUAGUGUGAGAGAUUCGCUGUCAUUCUGCGGAGGUGUUUGUAUCUGCGAUCUGAUUGGCUGUUGCUGCUGCUGCUGGAAAAUCUUCUGCCUCACUGUUUCCACAGGAUGUGGUCACCCGAUGUGAUCGAGCUGCAGCGUGAUGGCUGCGUCACAGACGAAGGCGGCUGCGGUUUCUGCCCCAAAGCCUGCUGGGACAGGAAGCGUGUCAGUGGGGGUGGGCGGGGAAAUCGAGGUCAGGCGGUGCCGGAGGUGAAUUUCACUGAUUUCUACAGAUUCUGAAGCAUGAAUGAAAGUCCAGCUCGAAGGGUCGAGAGAGAUGACAGGAAAAUGAAAACAGACUUUAGUUCCUCUGUUGUUGUGAUGUCACAACCUCCUCAGUCGGUGUCACAGGAUCAGAAAUAUUUAUUGUUUUAUUUUUAAUGUAUUUUUCAAAUAUAUGACAAAGCUGCUCCGAUGGAGUCCGACCUUCUCUCAGUUCAGUAUUCAGUGAAAUGCACACGAGUACAGAUAGUUACUGUGAACACGUGUACAUUUAUGAUGAUGUUACAACAUGUUAGAAAAUGAAAAUAAAGAAUGCAGUCUUGUGAAUUUUCAGUGCACAGGGUUUACUGUACCAGGGUAGGUCAGCACUCAAACUGUGGCUGAAACAGGAAACACUUUUCAGGCCAAAGUAAAAGUUUUGCUUGUAAAUCUUCACUAAAAUCCAAAUAUUUCAGUAAAAUGUUGCAUAAAUGAAGCUCUUCGUCUUAUUUGGAUAUUUUUCUUUCUUCCUGUGUUUUAGCAGCAAAUGUUUCAGUUAGAAAACUGGAGCAGCUUUAAUAAUCACAGCUUAUCUUUGAUGUUAGAAGCUCCACUUUAUAUUAUAAUAGACACUUUAUUAGAAAGUAAAUAAACAUAAUUCAUGUUUAAAAAAAACUAAAUUAUGGUCAUAAAUAGAAAAUCUAUAUAGUUUCAGUUUCUAAUCCUUUUACUGAGUAAUAUUGGACUUUUAUAACUCAGAAGCAAAACUGAACCUUGGCUGGGCCUUUAAAAUGCAUCGUCUAAAACUAACAGUUUAAUGUUACAGUCGAGUCAACUUUAACAAAUUAAAGUUUUAUUUUUAAUAAACCAUCUGCUUGUUUCAUUUCUUUAAUGUACAAAUAUGUCAGUUAGUCUGAUGAGAAGUUUCAUUUACUAGGACACAUGUUCAGUUUAUUUGUAUUUGUUUCUGUAAUUAUCUGAAAUUAUUUCAUCACUUCCUUGACUUUGUGUUCAGAUGGUGAAUUUUCCUGAUUCUGCACAUGUAGCUUUGAAAUAAAAAUGAAUUUCGAUAAUGCUUCAAAAAAACCUGAUAAAUUAGCGUCCAUAUGCAUUUGAAGAAGGCUGACAAGUUGUGAGCAACACUUUAGGAGGAUGUUUGAGUUCAUGUGAGAUUUCUGUUUUAUGCACAGCAGCAGUCAGAUCAGUGAGAAGUGUUGAACUGUUUGAUGUCUCGACCGACAGACACAGAAAAAUGCUUCAGGGAUUAUUUUAGUGUUACUUUGUGUGUUUUAUUAGGACUUCCUGUUUCAUCGUGUGUUACACACUGCAGCGGAGCCUCGAUGUUCCCUCAUUGAUAUUAUGAACCCGAUCAGAGCCGUCUGCUGGAAUCUGACCUGCUUCAUGUUUUCUGUGUUUGAGUUUGAAGAAACACAACUUGAUUUAGUAAAAAGCUCCACACAGAAAAUAAACCAAUAAAUGUUUCAGACUGGAAGAACUGGUCCCAGACGUCACCCUGGGUGCUGCUGCUGGAGGCCCUGCAUGUUUGGAGACCUCGUUCACUCUUUUGUCCACUGUCAUCACACAUCUUUCAGUUUCACUCAUCAUUUCAUCAUUGCAUUUGUCCAGUGUGACAUCACUGUCCUUGUGUGUCCUUUGCUUUGUUCUUGAGUCCCUGCAGAUGUUUACAGAUGUCACCAUCAUCAUCCUCAUUAUGAAGAGUGUGACCUUGUUUUUGUGUGAGUGUCAGAGACGUGGCUGUAACCACACCAACAUCUCUGUGUCUGUUUGUUGGUGGGUUUUAUUUGUUGUUUUUGCAGCUUCACCGCUGACAGGAAGCCAGCAGCAGCAGGGCAGAGCGAGGAAGCGGCGCUGCAGCGGUGGGAGGCUCUGAGGUCGCCUCACAACCUGACAAACAUCCGGCAGCAGACGCGGAAGAAGAAAAACCCGACCUCAGAAUGUUUCCAACACACGUGGUGGAAAAAAGCUGCAGCUGAAGCAGCCUGCACACUUUCAGGAACUUUGUGCCUCUCAAGAAAUAAAAAUAUGUCCAUUUAGAGUCAUUAUAAUACAGGCAAAUAUGCAUUAUGUAUAAUACAUUAGAAUACAGCAACAUCGCUUUCUUCAGUGUGGCAGCAGAGCUCAAGUCCUUUACAGUCACAUGUGUUCUGAUCUGUGCAUCACAUGUUUAUCUGCUGAUUGUUGAGUUAAAGCUUCCACAUAUAAACACUG
ensembl:lncRNA